rnacentral:rRNA from 1 species
AUUGAACGCUGGCGGCGUGCCUAACACAUGCAAGUCGAGCGGUAACAGGUGUAGCAAUACAUGCUGACGAGCGGCGAACGGGUGAGUAAUGCUUCGGAAUCUGCCCAAUGGUGGGGAAUAACCAGCCGAAAGGUUGGCUAAUACCGCAUACGUCCUACGGGAGAAAGCAGGGGAUCGUAAGACCUUGCGCCAAUGGAUGAGCCGAAGUCGGAUUAGCUAGUUGGUAGGGUAACGGCCUACCAAGGCGACGAUCCGUAGCUGGUCUGAGAGGACGACCAGCCAAACUGGGACUGAGACACGGCCCAGACUCCUGCGGGAGGCAGCAGUGGGGAAUAUUGGACAAUGGGGGAAACCCUGAUCCAGCGACGCCGCGUGUGUGAAGAAGGCCUGCGGGUUGUAAAGCACUUUUAGUGGGGAUGAAAAGUCCAGGGCUAAUACCUCUGGAUCUUGACCUAACCCACAGAAAAAGCACCGGCUAACUCUGUGCCAGCAGCCGCCGUAAUAC